rnacentral:lncRNA from 1 species
AACAGAAUGCCAAUACAUGGACUUACACCCGACUCCUAACACCAAAAAGGAAACAGAAUGCCAAUACAUGGACUUACAUCCGACUCCCAACAAAAACAAACGCUAACCAGCGAACACCAAAGAAAAAGGAAAGAAUGCCAAUACAUGGACUUACACCCGACUCCUAACACCAAAAAGGAAACAGAAUGCCAAUACAUGGACUUACAUCCGACUCCCAACAAAAACAAACGCUAACCAGCGAACACC